GGGGGGGGGGGGGGGGGGGGGGGGGGGGGGGGGGGGGGGGGGGGGGGGGGGGCGGGGGGGGGGGGCGCGGGGGGGGAACGGGUGGGUGACGGGUGAGUGACCUGCCCUGGACGUUGGGAUAACUUCAGGAAACUGGGGCUAAUACCGGCUAGGAGCUCCUGCUGCAUGGUGGGGGUUGGAAAGUUUCGGCGGUUGGGGAUGGACUCGCGGCUUAUCAGCUGGUUGGUGGGGUAGUGGCUUACCAAGGCGUUGACGGGUAGCCGGCCUGAGAGGGUGACCGGCCACAUUGGGACUGAGAUACGGCCCAGACUCCUACGGGAGGCAGCAGUGGGGAAUAUUGCACAAUGGGCGGAAGCCUGAUGCAGCAACGCCGCGUGCGGGAUGACGGCCUUCGGGUUGUAAACCGCUUUCGCCUGUGACGAAGCGUGAGUGACGGUAAUGGGUAAAGAAGCACCGGCUAACUACGUG
rnacentral:rRNA from 1 species